CUAUCGGUAUGGGAUGGGGUCGCGUCCUAUCAGCUUGAUGGCGGGGUAACGGCCCACCAUGGCUUCGACGGGUAGCCGGCCUGAGAGGGCGACCGGCCACAUUGGGACUGAGAUACGGCCCAGACUCCUACGGGAGGCAGCAGUGGGGAAUAUUGCACAAUGGGCGCAAGCCUGAUGCAGCGACGCCGCGUGCGGGAUGACGGCCUUCGGGUUGUAAACCGCUUUUGACUGGGAGCAAGCCCUUCGGGGUGAGUGUACCUUUCGAAUAAGCACCGGCUAACUACGUGCCAGCAGCCGCGGUAAUACGUAGGGUGCAAGCGUUAUCCGGAAUUAUUGGGCGUAAAGGGCUCGUAGGCGGUUCGUCGCGUCCGGUGUGAAAGUCCAUCGCUUAACGGUGGAUCCGCGCCGGGUACGGGCGGG
rnacentral:rRNA from 1 species